CUACGGGACGCACCAGUGAGGAAUAUUGCGCAAUGGGGGAAACCCUGACGCAGCGACGCCGCGUGGAUGAUGAAGGCCUUAGGGUCGUAAAAUCCUGUCAGGUGGGAAGAAGUGGAUAUAGAUUAAUACUCUAUUUCUUUGACGGUACCACCAAAGGAAGCACCGGCUAACUCCGUGCCAGCAGCCGCGUGUAAUACGGAGGGUGCAAACGUUGUUCGGAAUUACUGGGCGUAAAGCGCGCGGAGGCGGUUUGUUAAGUCAGAUGUGAAAGUCCAUGGCUCAACUAGGGAAGUGCAUUUGAAACUGGCAGACUUGAGUACUGGAGGGGGUGAUGGAAUUCCCGGUGUAGAGGUGAAAUUCGUAGAUAUCGGGAGGAAUACCGGUGGCGAAGGCGAUCACCUGGCCAGAUACUGACGCUGAGGUGCGAAAGCGUGGGGAGCAAACAGGAUUAGAUACCCCAGUAGUC
rnacentral:rRNA from 1 species